AUAGUCCUUUAUUGGAAGAGCUUGCAAAAUUACAACGUGUACUCUAUGUAACGGAAGCUUGAUUGCCACCUGUUGGAACAUUGUGGUAAAAACAGGAGAACACCAUGUCCUUCGGUGGCAGGCUACAUUCCCUUUAUCACCUGUGGUGAUGCAGGUUUGAAGCAAGUCCUAGAAAGAAAUAUGCAAUGCCAUGUGAUGUGAUGCUAUAUUAGGAAACCAAACAUAUAUAGAUGGUCAGCUUCAAAUAAAUACUUAAAAAAUUCCACUUCAAGAAAUAGUGAAUUAAUAAUACGGUUUUCAACAAUGAAGAGAUAUGUUAACAAAAAUAGAUAUCAUCUUAAUAUGGAAAUAGAAUCCUAAUAAGCCUUCAUUGAGAAACAGCUGGUCGCAUGUGGGAGGAGACUUGUGCCAUUCACGCUGAAACAACCAUAUAUAAUACUGACAGUGAAUUUUCUAAUUGAGAUCAUGCAACACAAAGCUUUCAAAGCCUGCGCUAGAUCAAGUAAACACUGGCUACUGGUUUUGCUGGUUUUGGAGCAUUUCAUUUCAAUUGUCUACUUCAUUGUUCUUUUGUCUCUUCGCCCUAGUUAUUAACAUAUGGAUCAGUGUCUGGGACAAGUUAUGCCAGAAUUAUAUGCUCCUGGCAGUGUUUCCCAAUCCUGGUCCUGGGGACCCAAAGGCGUGCACAUUUUGUUUUUGCCCUAGCAUUCACACACCUGAUUCAAAUAAAAAUCUUGAUGAUAUGUUGAUCACAUAAAUCAAGUGUGUAAGUGGUAGAGCAACAUUUGAAUCCGGUGUGUGAGUGCUAGGGCAAAAACAAAACAUGCACCCCUUUGGGUCCCCAGGACCAGGAUUGGGAAACACUGCUGUAGAAUAGGAUUGUUUUGACAGCCCAAAUCCCAACGUAUGUCUCAGUGUGAGACAAAUUAAUUCCAGACAAUUCAGGGGUUCAGGAGAAAUCUGCAGGGUCAACAAGCUACUUGGCUAAUGUAACAACACAAUGAUGCUCGCAAUUAAAAAGUUCAUUCAACUUUUGAAGAACAACAGAAGUACCCCAAGCACGAAUGUAUCUAAAAUACAUUUUAAUCUUGCUGAAAUUCACAAUUGUUACAAUAUGAAUCUGUUGGAUAUUUUUCCAUCUUCGUUGUCUUCUCCGCUGCCUUCUUCUUACCCUCUUGAAACAUACUGUACAAUCAUGUCAUGUAAAGUGUUUUACACCAAGGCACAAGACACAGCCGUUGUGAGGGAGCCUAGGGAAGGCUGAUUUUUAAUGUUGAUCCCUGGGGGGCACAGCACAGCAAACAGGUGCUGGCGAGGAGGAAAGGAUGAGUGACGGGUGGGGGGGUGGGGGUCAUAUGAUACAAAGGUACUCUAAGGCAAGAAUAAAUAAUGAUAAAUUGGCACUGCAUCUUUAUCUAUUAAUUUUAAAUAAAUGUUAUGUAUAAAAAAAGGGAAUCUGGAUUUUUUUCUUCCUCAGGGAUUUGGGUCAUUGUAUACAGGAUGGUCACGGUCAUUUUCUCAUCCCCCCCCUUCUGGUUUGCCGAAAGCAAAAUGAUAGGUUCAUAACAACAUGGAUAUGAGAGGAGUCCUAAUAUCUGAAGGGAUUUCUGUAGACUGUGGGAGAGUUGAGAAAGGGGCCAGUGUUUUUUCUUUUCUGUCUGUUUGUUUUAUUGUUUUUCCCCCAGAUAUUUUCUGAUGUCAUCACC
ensembl:lncRNA